GAGGUGUUGCCUGUUGAUUACAAUCCGUA
rnacentral:sRNA from 1 species